CACAGGAGCCCAGCCCUGGACUCCCAGCUCAGCCCACUCAGUGACCAGGACUGAACACAGCUGCUCACCAUGGAGAGUGUGCUCAGCUGGGUUUUCCUGGUGGCUGUUUUCAAAGGUGUCCAGUGUGAGGUGCAGCUGGUGGAGUCCGGGGGAGGCCUGGUGCAACCUGGGGGUUCCCUGCGACUCUCCUGUGCAGCCUCUGGAUUCACCUUCAGUGAUUACUGGAUGAACUGGGUCCACCAGGCUCCGGGGAAGGGGCUGGAGUGGGUUGGCCAAAUUAACCAAAAUGGUGGUAGCACCUACUACCCAGACUCUGUGAAGGGCUGAUUCACCAUUUCC